GUCUCAUUCUGUGGAAGAGGUAUGCAUGCAAAAUACAGAAGCUGGAGAUGGAUCCGCUGUCAGUCAAAUGAAGAUUCCAUUUGGAAUGUGACUGGGAAAAGCAGUUUGGAGCCAAGCCAACUGCUGGACUUUUUUUGGGUUUUUGGGCUUUCUGGCUCACCUGAAGGAAGAAGCUCAUUUUGUCUCUGGGACUUGGGAUAAUCAAGUAGGAGGUGACCUGGCUGAUUUGAAGAUAUCACAAAACUGGAAUAUACUAUUGAAAUUCUGGAUGAAAAGGUCAGAAUUCAAAAAUAAGAGGAUUCAGAAUGAUGAUUUUUCAAAUAACACAGCAGCAGAAAAGAGACAAUUCAAAAGGACCUAUGAAAAAAAAAUUCUAUCCACCUCCAGAGAGAAAGCUUUUGCUUGUUUUGAAUGCAGACUGAAGCAAAUCUUUUUCAAUUUACUUUUCUGGGAAUUUGUAUGUGUGUAUGUCUGCUCUCUUUUGUGACAUGGUUAAUAAAAUUAUGUUCUGCA
rnacentral:lncRNA from 1 species